ACCUUCUUGUAUAAGCACUG
rnacentral:miRNA from 1 species